ACGAACGCUGGCGGCGUGCUUAACACAUGCAAGUCGAACGGUGAAGCUCCAGCUUGCUGGAGUGGAUCAGUGGCGAACGGGUGAGUAACACGUGAGCAACCUGCCCCUGACUCUGGAAUAAGCGCUGGAAACGGCGUCUAAUACUGGAUACGAGAAGGGUCCGCAUGGGCACUUUCUGGAAAGUUUUUCGGUUGGGGAUGGGCUCGCGGCCUAUCAGCUUGUUGGUGAGGUAAUGGCUCACCAAGGCGACGACGGGUAGCCGGCCUGAGAGGGCGACCGGCCACACUGGGACUGAGACACGGCCCAGACUCCUACGGGAGGCAGCAGUGGGGAAUAUUGCACAAUGGGCGAAAGCCUGAUGCAGCGACGCCGCGUGAGGGAUGACGGCCUUCGGGUUGUAAACCUCUUUCAGCAGGGAAGAAGCGAAAGUGACGGUACCUGCAGAAGAAGCACCGGCUAACUACG
rnacentral:rRNA from 1 species